UACGGGGGGAGCAAGCGUUGUUCGGAUUUACUGGGCGUAAAGGGCGCGUAGGCGGUCAGCACAAGUCAGUUGUGAAAUCUCCGAGCUUAACUCGGAAAGGUCAACUGAUACUGUGCGACUAGAGUGGCAGAAGGGGCAACUGGAAUUCUUGGUGUAGCGGUGAAAUGCGUAGAUAUCAAGAGGAACACCUGCGGCGAAGGCGGGUUGCUGGGCUGACACUGACGGCUGAAGCGCGAAAGCCCAGGGAGCGAACGGG
rnacentral:rRNA from 1 species